CACGUAGGGCGCAAGCGUUGUCCGGAAUUAUUGGGCGUAAAGAGCUCGUAGGCGGUUUGUCGCGUCUGCUGUGAAAACCCGAGGCUCAACCUCGGGCCUGCAGUGGGUACGGGCAGACUAGAGUGCGGUAGGGGAGAUUGGAAUUCCUGGUGUAGCGGUGGAAUGCGCAGAUAUCAGGAGGAACACCGAUGGCGAAGGCAGACCUCUGGGCCGUAACUGACGCUGAGGAGCGAAAGCGUGGGGAGCGAACAGG
rnacentral:rRNA from 1 species